AAUGAGCGGCGGACGGGUGAGUAACACGUGGGCAACCUGCCUGUAAGACUGGGAUAACUUCGGGAAACCGGAGCUAAUACCGGAUAGUAUUUCCUUUCUCCUGAUUGGAAAUGGAAAGACGGUUUCGGCUGUCACUUACAGAUGGGCCCGCGGUGCAUUAGCUAGUUGGUGGGGUAAUGGCCCACCAAGGCGACGAUGCAUAGCCGACCUGAGAGGGUGAUCGGCCACACUGGGACUGAGACACGGCCCAGACUCCUACGGGAGGCAGCAGUAGGGAAUCUUCCGCAAUGGACGAAAGUCUGACGGAGCAACGCCGCGUGAGCGAUGAAGGCCUUCGGGUCGUAAAGCUCUGUUGUUAGGGAAGAACAAGUACGAGAGUAACUGCUCGUACCUUGACGGUACCUAACCAGAAAGCCCCGGCUAACUACGUGCCAGCAGCCGCGGUAAUACGUAGGGGGCAAGCGUUGUCCGGAAUUAUUGGGCGUAAAGGGCUCGUAGGCGGUUUCUUAAGUCUGAUGUGAAAGCCCACAGCUCAACUGUGGAGGGUCAUUGGAAACUGGGGAACUUGAGUGCAGAAGAGGAGAGUGGAAUUCCACGUGUAGCGGUGAAAUGCGUAGAUAUGUGGAGGAACACCAGUGGCGAAGGCGACUCUCUGGUCUGUAACUGACGCUGAGGAGCGAAAGCGUGGGGAGCAAACAGG
rnacentral:rRNA from 1 species